rnacentral:rRNA from 1 species
UACGGAGGGUGCGAGCGUUAUCCGGAAUUACUGGGUUUAAAGGGUGCGUAGGCGGCUAUGUAAGUCAGAUAGUGAAAGUUUGCGGCUCAACCGUAAAAUUGCUUUUGAUACUGCAUAGCUAGAAUUAGGAUGAGGUUAGCGGAAUGUGGCAUGUAGCGGUGAAAUGCAUAGAUACGCCAUAGAACACCAAUUGCGAAGGCAGCUGGCUAGACCUAUAUUGACGCUGAGGCACGAAAGCGUGGGGAUCGAAUAGG